CCUACGGGGGACAGCAGUGAGGAAUAUUGGUCAAUGGGCGCGAGCCUGAACCAGCCAAGUAGCGUGAAGGAUGACUGCCCUACGGGUUGUAAACUUCUUUUAUAAAGGAAUAAAGUGAGGCACGUGUGCCUUUUUGUAUGUACUUUAUGAAUAAGGAACGGCUUACUCCGUGCCAGCAGCCGCGGUAAUACGGAGGGACCGAGCGUUAGCCGGAUUUAAUGGGUUUAAAGGGAGCGUAGAUGGGUUGUUAAGUCAGUUGUUAAAGUUUGCGGCUCAACCGUAAAACUGCAAUUGAUACUGGCAGCCUUGAGUACAGUUGAGGAAGGCGGAAUUCGUGGUGUAGCGGUGAAAUGCUUAGAUAUCACGAAGAACUCCGAUUGCGAAGGCAGCUUACUAAACUGCCACUGACAUUGAUGCUCGAAAGUGUGGGUAUCAAACAGGAUUAGAUACCCCAGUAGUC
rnacentral:rRNA from 1 species